rnacentral:rRNA from 1 species
GAUGAACGCUGGCGGCGUGCUUAACACAUGCAAGUCGACCGGAAAGGCUCCUGCUUGCAGGGGUACUCGAGUGGCGAACGGGUGAGUAACACGUGGGUGAUCUGCCCUGCACUUCGGGAUAAGCCUGGGAAACUGGGUCUAAUACCGAAUAGGACCACAUUUUGGAUGGUGUGGUGGAAAGUUUUUCGGUGUGGGAUGAGCUCGCGGCCUAUCAGCUUGUUGGUGGGGUAAUGGCCUACCAAGGCGUCGACGGGUAGCCGGCCUGAGAGGGUGUACGGCCACAUUGGGACUGAGAUACGGCCCAGACUCCUACGGGAGGCAGCAGUGGGGAAUAUUGCACAAUGGGCGCAAGCCUGAUGCAGCGACGCCGCGUGGGGGAUGACGGCCUUCGGGUUGUAAACUCCUUUCGCUAGGGACGAAGCGUUUUUGUGACGGUACCUGGAGAAGAAGCACCGGCUAACUACGUG